rnacentral:sRNA from 1 species
UUCCUCAUUACUGAGGGUCGUGACCCCCCC